rnacentral:rRNA from 1 species
AUGCGACAGCCACCACCACUGCGAGCAACAACCACCAUCACUGCUAGCUGCCGGUGCAGCGUCCCACCAGCCCCCAUGCGCCUCCAUCCCUCAAGCUCCCAGAUGCGUCGUCGUGAACCCUUUGUUCCCCAUCGCUGCCUCCUCCAACUCCUUUCAUGGCUCUGGAAAAUCACUGAUCAGGUCGCCCGUGGAGUUUUAGAUAUAUGCAAAAUCGGAUUAGAGCACCAUGCUCUCACCCAAAAGUUUGAAAAACCAUUGCUUUCCGUUCUGGUCAACAACAUGGACAUGCUAAUGCUGUAG